UACAGGGGGGGCAAGCGUUGUUCGGAAUUACUGGGCGUAAAGGGUUCGUAGGUGGCUCACUAAGUCACACGUGAAAUCCCUCAGCUUAACUGGGGAACUGCGUGUGAUACUGGAUGGCUUGGAUUUGGGAGAGGGAUGCGGAAUUCCAGGUGUAGCGGUGAAAUGCGUAGAUAUCUGGAGGAACACCGGUGGCGAAGGCGGCAUCCUGGACCAAUAUUGACGCUGAGGAGCGAAAGCCAGGGGAGCAAACGGG
rnacentral:rRNA from 1 species